rnacentral:rRNA from 1 species
AUUGAACGCUGACGGCAGGCUUAACACAUGCAAGUCGAACGAGUGGAAGACGGGUGAGUAAUGCUUGGGAAUCUAGCUUAUGGCGUAGGAUAACUACGGGCAACUGUAGCUAAUAACGCGUACCAUAGGAUGAGCGAAAGUGGAAUUAGGUAGUUGGGGAGGAAAAGGCUCACAAAGCCGAAGCUCUCUAGCUGGGCUGAGAGGAUGCACAGCCACACUGGGACUGAUACACGGCCCAGACUCCUACGGGAGGCAGCAGUGGGGAAUAGUGCGCAAUGGGUGCAACUUGACGCAGCCAUGCCGCGUGAAUGAAGAAGGCCUUCGGGUUGUAAAGUUCUUUCGGUAGCUAGGCGUUAACUACAGAAGAAGCACCUGCUAACUCCGUGCCAGCAGCCGCGGUAAUUC